UUCAGUCUGCAGGCUGACACACUAUCCACUGAGCCAAACCAGUUUUGGCAACAUCCCCAUUUCAAUGUCCUGGCUCUUCCACUUACUUGCUGUGUGGUCAUGAGCAAGUUAUUAAUUCCUAUGUGCUUCAUGUCUCCUCAUUUUACUCCUCUGUAAAUGGCUCUGGUACCAGAACAUACCAGCCUCACAGGGCUGUCAUGAAGAAUGAAUGUGAAUCAUUCAACACAGUGCCUGCAGCAUGCAUACUACACUGCUCCUUAGCUUAUGAUGGUUACUCUCAAACCCACUGUGAAUUAAAAAUGUUAAGUC